CAAAGGAGGAAGAAGCAGAGGUGAGGGGGGGAUUAGCACUAGAUUUAAAAUCAGAAGGUUUUUUUUGUAAAAUUUGAAAUGAACUAAGCUCUGGACAACUUUUCCCGGACGGAGGGAGUAUAAACAAAUGAAAAUAAAUAAAUUCAGGAACUCCUGUGGCUGUAGGAAUGGAUGUCCUCACCCGCCUCCACCGGCCGCUCGGCGAAGAGUGGCAGGAAGACGACAUCCCCAAGCCCUCUGCUCUCUGUCCCCUCUCCAGGUCAAACACACCCCUCCGAGAACCCUCGACCGCUGCAGCCGUUUAAAUGGUCCGCGUCGAUCUGACAUGUUCUGCUUUUUUUGCCUGAUUCAGCGGGUCUACGGCUUCUUGGUUGCUGGACUCGCCCCCAUGAUGCUGGCGCGUUGCUGUAACUUCCGCCCAUGAUCUGUCGCCCGUGCAGUAUUUUGCUGUAGUUGACUGCAGGUGAAGAAUGGGCCAUGUUGGCCGUGCUGACCCUAUUUUCAGCAGUUGGAUCCUAUAUACCUAACCGAGGGAUCAAGAACCAUCGUUGUGAGUUAUGCUUUGUGUUACUUCAGCAAUGGCUGAUGCCAUUCCUUCCAAGUAUCAAAUAUGUGUUAUUCAGACAUUUAGGCUUACCAAAUCUAAGUCUAAAGAAACGAGUCGCGGGCGUAAAUGCCUAUUUCUUCAGCAUUAAGAACUUUAGGUUAGUCAACACAGUGAUUUCUAUGUUGGGUUUGCUCUUCACGCUAGGCUUGAACGUCACAUUUAACCUAUCUGUGCUAGUGAACUGAUGCGUUGUCUUCUCUUAGUCGGAGUUGAUGUUUCAAAUGCCAUGCUUAUGCGAUAUUUGUUCUGAACAUUAUUAAUCUUCUACAUUCGCAUUAGCCAUAGUCAAACUUUCAAGUGUGAAUCAUAUGAUCCUGUCAAAUGCCAGUUUG
rnacentral:lncRNA from 1 species